AUUAAUUAAUUUAUUGAAUUUUAUUUUUAAAUUUAAUAUUAAAAAAAAUAAAUUUAUUUUUAUUAUUUAAUGAAAAAAUUUUAUUUAUUAUAGUUUAUAGUAUUGUGAGAGAAAUUUUAAAUAUUUUAAAAUUUAAGUUUAUAAAAGAAAAAUUUAAUUUUUGUACCUUUUGCAUCAGGGUUGAUUAAAUUUAAUAUUUAUAUUGUAUUCUCGAAUUAAAAAGAGCUAAGAUUAAAUUUAUUUUGUUGUAGAAUAAACAUUUAUAAUUUAAUUUUUGUAAUGAAAUGUUAUUCGUUUUUUAAUAUAUCUAGUUUCCUGAGAAAUAAAUUGAAUUUAUUAAUUAAUUUUAUUUAAUUUUUUUUGCAAAUGUUUAAUAAAUUAAUUAAAAAUUUAUUUGGGGAUAAGCUCAAAUAAAAAUAUUUAUAAGUUUAUUCUUAUUAUAAUAUGUAGGAUUUAAAUUUUCUUUCAUUAAAAAAAUGUUAUAUUUAAUUAUAAUUGUUUACGAUUUAUAUUUUUUUAAAUUUUUUAUUGGGAUGAAAUUUUGAAUUUUAAAAAAUUUAUAUUGAUGAUUAAAUUAGUAUAAUUUACUGUAUAAGUGUGAUUAAUUGAUAGGUUAAUUAAAGGAACUAGGCAAAUAAGUUUUUCACCUGUUUAAUAAAAACAUGUCCUUUUGAAUUAAUUAAUAUAAGGUCUGACCUGCCCAAUGAUAAAUUUAAUGGCUGCAGUAUUUUGACUGUACAAAGGUAGCAUAAUCAUUAGUUUCUUAAUUAGAAACUGGAAUGAAUGGUUUAAUGAAAAAAUGACUGUCUCUAUUUAAUUUUUUUAAAAAUUUAUUUUUAAGUUAAAAAGCUUAAAUUUUUUUAAAAGACGAGAAGACCCUAUAGAGUUUUAUAAACAAGAAUUUUUUUUAUAAAAGGAUUAUUAUAUUUAAAAAUUUGGAUUUAUUUGAUUGGGGUGAUUUGAAAAUUUAAUUAACUUUUUAUUUUUGAAUUCGUUUAUAAGCGUACAUUUGAUCCAAUUUAAUUGAUUAAAAGAAUAAAUUACCUUAGGGAUAACAGCGUAAUUUUUUUAAAGAGUUCUAAUCGAAAAAAAAGAUUGCGACCUCGAUGUUGGAUUAAAGUUAAUAUUAGGUGUAGAAGCUUAAUAAUUAGGUCUGUUCGACCUUUAAAUCUUUACAUGAUCUGAGUUUAAACCGGUGUAAGCCAGGUUGGAUUCUAUCUUUAAAUUAUUAAAAUAUUUUAGUACGAAAGGACCAAAUAUUAAUUUUAAAAAUUUUAGUUGAAUAUAAAUAA
rnacentral:rRNA from 1 species